rnacentral:rRNA from 1 species
GACGAACGCUGGCGGCGUGCUUAACACAUGCAAGUCGAACGGAAAGGCCCUGCUUUUGUGGGGUGCUCGAGUGGCGAACGGGUGAGUAACACGUGAGUAACCUGCCCUUGACUUUGGGAUAACUUCAGGAAACUGGGGCUAAUACCGGAUAGGAGCUCCUGCUGCAUGGUGGGGGUUGGAAAGUUUCGGCGGUUGGGGAUGGACUCGCGGCUUAUCAGCUUGUUGGUGGGGUAGUGGCUUACCAAGGCUUUGACGGGUAGCCGGCCUGAGAGGGUGACCGGCCACAUUGGGACUGAGAUACGGCCCAGACUCCUACGGGAGGCAGCAGUGGGGAAUAGUGCACAAUGGGCGGGAGCCUGAUGCAGCAACGCCGCGUGCGGGAUGACGGCCUUCGGGUUGUAAACCGCUUUCGCCUGUGACGAAGCGUGAGUGACGGUAAUGGGUAAAGAAGCACCGGCUAACUACGUG